CAGCAGUGGGGGAUAUUGCACAAUGGGGGAAACCCUGAUGCAGCGACGCCGCGUGGAGGAAGAAGGUUUUCGGAUUGUAAACUCCUGUCGUUAGGGACGAUAAUGACGGUACCUAACAAGAAAGCACCGGCUAACUACGUGCCAGCAGCCGCGGUAAAACGUAGGGUGCAAGCGUUGUCCGGAAUUACUGGGUGUAAAGGGAGCGCAGGCGGGAAGACAAGUUGGAAGUGAAAACCAUGGGCUCAACCCAUGAAUUGCUUUCAAAACUGUUUUUCUUGAGUAGUGCAGAGGUAGAUGGAAUUCCCGGUGUAGCGGUGGAAUGCGUAGAUAUCGGGAGGAACACCAGUGGCGAAGGCGGUCUACUGGGCACCAACUGACGCUGAGGCUCGAAAGCAUGGGUAGCAAACAGGAUUAGA
rnacentral:rRNA from 1 species